rnacentral:rRNA from 1 species
ACGCGCUCAGUAACGCUUAGUCAACCUAACCUAUGGACGGGAAUAACCUCGGGAAACUGAGAAUAAUGCCCGGAUAGAACAUUAUGCCUGGAAUGGUUUAUGUUCCAAAUGAUUUAUCGCCGUAGGAUGGGACUGCGGCCUAUCAGUUUGUUGGUGAGGUAAUGGCCCACCAAGACUAUUACAGGUACGGGCUCUGAGAGGAGUAGCCCGGAGAUGGGUACUGAGACACGGACCCAGGCCCUAUGGGGCGCAGCAGGCGAGAAAACUUUGCAAUGUGCGAAA